GAUGAACGCUGGCGGCGUGCUUAACACAUGCAAGUCGAACGGGAAUUCUUUUAUUGCAACUUCGGUCGAUUUAAUUUAAUUCUAGUGGCGGACGGGUGAGUAACGCGUGGGUAACCUGCCUUAUACAGGGGGAUAACAGUCAGAAAUGGCUGCUAAUACCGCAUAAGCGCACAGAGCUGCACGGCUCAGUGUGAAAAACUCCGGUGGUAUAAGAUGGACCCGCGUUGGAUUAGCUGGUUGGUGGGGUAACGGCCCACCAAGGCGACGAUCCAUAGCCGGCCUGAGAGGGUGAACGGCCACAUUGGGACUGAGACACGGCCCAGACUCCUACGGGAGGCAGCAGUGGGGAAUAUUGCACAAUGGGGGAAACCCUGAUGCAGCGACGCCGCGUGAAGGAAGAAGUAUCUCGGUAUGUAAACUUCUAUCAGCAGGGAAGAUAGUGACGGUACCUGACUAAGAAGCCCCGGCUAACUACGUG
rnacentral:rRNA from 1 species